GGAUGUGAGGGCGAUCUGGCUGCGACAUCUGUCACCCCACUGAUCGCCAAGGUUGAUUCGGCUGAUCUGGCUGGCUAGGUGAGUGUCCCCUUCCUCCCUCAAUGCUCCACGUGCGUCCCUCCCGAAGGUGCGAAGCUGUGCUCUGGGUCGAAGAGGACGACCACCCCCGAUAGAGGAGGACCGUUCCUUGGUCAAGGGUAUAUGAGUAGCUGCGCUCUCCUGCUAGAACCUCCAAAUAAGUUCUCAAGAGUAUAAUUUCACAUGACAGUCCCCAUCUCAUUCUAUUAAGCACACCUCCAUCACAGUU
rnacentral:snRNA from 1 species